AACGAACGCUGGCGGCAGGCUUAACACAUGCAAGUCGAGCGCCCCGCAAGGGGAGCGGCAGACGGGUGAGUAACGCGUGGGAAUCUACCCAUCUCUACGGAAUAACGCAUGGAAACGUGUGCUAAUACCGUAUACGUCCUUCGGGAGAAAGAUUUAUCGGAGAUGGCUGAGGCCGCGUUGGAUUAGCUAGUUGGUGGGGUAAAGGCCUACCAAGGCGACGAUCCAUAGCUGGUCUGAGAGGAUGAUCAGCCACACUGGGACUGAGACACGGCCCAGACUCCUACGGGAGGCAGCAGUGGGGAAUAUUGGACAAUGGGCGCAAGCCUGAUCCAGCCAUGCCGCGUGAGUGAUGAAGGCCCUAGGGUUGUAAAGCUCUUUCACCGGUGAAGAUAAUGACGGUAACCGGAGAAGAAGCCCCGGCUAACUUCGUGCCAGCCGCCGCGGUAAUAC
rnacentral:rRNA from 1 species